rnacentral:tRNA from 1 species
UUGGCUCAGUGGUAGAGCGCUUGCCUUACAUGCAUGAGGCCUUGGGUUCACUCCCUCA